rnacentral:rRNA from 1 species
AGCGUACACGGUGGAUGCCCUGGCAGUCAGAGGCGAUGAAGGACGUGCUAAUCUGCGAUAAGCGUCGGUAAGGUGAUAUGAACCGUUAUAACCGGCGAUUUCCGAAUGGGGAAACCCAGUGUGAUUCGUCACACUAUCAUUAACUGAAUCCAUAGGUUAAUGAGGCGAACCGGGGGAACUGAAACAUCUAAGUACCCCGAGGAAAAGAAAUCAACCGAGAUUCCCCCAGUAGCGGCGAGCGAACGGGGAGCAGCCCAGAGCCUGAAUCAGUGUGUGUGUUAGUGGAAGCGUCUGGAAAGGCGCGCGAUACAGGGUGACAGCCCCGUACACAAAAAUGCACAUGCUGUGAGCUCGAUGAGUAGGGCGGGACACGUGGUAUCCUGUCUGAAUAUGGGGGGACCAUCCUCCAAGGCUAAAUACUCCUGACUGACCGAUAGUGAACCAGUACCGUGAGGGAAAGGCGAAAAGAACCCCGGCGAGGGGAGUGAAAAAGAACCUGAAACCGUGUACGUACAAGCAGUGGGAGCACAGAGCAAUCUGUGUGACUGCGUACCUUUUGUAUAAUGGGUCAGCGACUUAUAUUCUGUAGCAAGGUUAACCGAAUAGGGGAGCCGAAGGGAAACCGAGUCUUAACUGGGCGUUAAGUUGCAGGGUAUAGACCCGAAACCCGGUGAUCUAGCCAUGGGCAGGUUGAAGGUUGGGUAACACUAACUGGAGGACCGAACCGACUAAUGUUGAAAAAUUAGCGGAUGACUUGUGGCUGGGGGUGAAAGGCCAAUCAAACCGGGAGAUAGCUGGUUCUCCCCGAAAGCUAUUUAGGUAGCGCCUCGUGAAUUCAUCUCCGGGGGUAGAGCACUGUUUCGGCAAGGGGGUCAUCCCGACUUACCAACCCGAUGCAAACUGCGAAUACCGGAGAAUGUUAUCACGGGAGACACACGGCGGGUGCUAACGUCCGUCGUGAAGAGGGAAACAACCCAGACCGCCAGCUAAGGUCCCAAAGUCAUGGUUAAGUGGGAAACGAUGUGGGAAGGCCCAGACAGCCAGGAUGUUGGCUUAGAAGCAGCCAUCAUUUAAAGAAAGCGUAAUAGCUCACUGGUCGAGUCGGCCUGCGCGGAAGAUGUAACGGGGCUAAACCAUGCACCGAAGCUGCGGCAGCGACGCUUAUGCGUUGUUGGGUAGGGGAGCGUUCUGUAAGCCUGUGAAGGUGUGCUGUGAGGCAUGCUGGAGGUAUCAGAAGUGCGAAUGCUGACAUAAGUAACGAUAAAGCGGGUGAAAAGCCCGCUCGCCGGAAGACCAAGGGUUCCUGUCCAACGUUAAUCGGGGCAGGGUGAGUCGACCCCUAAGGCGAGGCCGAAAGGCGUAGUCGAUGGGAAACAGGUUAAUAUUCCUGUACUUGGUGUUACUGCGAAGGGGGGACGGAGAAGGCUAUGUUGGCCGGGCGACGGUUGUCCCGGUUUAAGCGUGUAGGCUGGUUUUCCAGGCAAAUCCGGAAAAUCAAGGCUGAGGCGUGAUGACGAGGCACUACGGUGCUGAAGCAACAAAUGCCCUGCUUCCAGGAAAAGCCUCUAAGCAUCAGGUAACAUCAAAUCGUACCCCAAACCGACACAGGUGGUCAGGUAGAGAAUACCAAGGCGCUUGAGAGAACUCGGGUGAAGGAACUAGGCAAAAUGGUGCCGUAACUUCGGGAGAAGGCACGCUGAUAUGUAGGUGAAGUCCCUCGCGGAUGGAGCUGAAAUCAGUCGAAGAUACCAGCUGGCUGCAACUGUUUAUUAAAAACACAGCACUGUGCAAACACGAAAGUGGACGUAUACGGUGUGACGCCUGCCCGGUGCCGGAAGGUUAAUUGAUGGGGUCAGCGCAAGCGAAGCUCUUGAUCGAAGCCCCGGUAAACGGCGGCCGUAACUAUAACGGUCCUAAGGUAGCGAAAUUCCUUGUCGGGUAAGUUCCGACCUGCACGAAUGGCGUAAUGAUGGCCAGGCUGUCUCCACCCGAGACUCAGUGAAAUUGAACUCGCUGUGAAGAUGCAGUGUACCCGCGGCAAGACGGAAAGACCCCGUGAACCUUUACUAUAGCUUGACACUGAACAUUGAGCCUUGAUGUGUAGGAUAGGUGGGAGGCUUUGAAGUGUGGACGCCAGUCUGCAUGGAGCCGACCUUGAAAUACCACCCUUUAAUGUUUGAUGUUCUAACGUUGACCCGUAAUCCGGGUUGCGGACAGUGUCUGGUGGGUAGUUUGACUGGGGCGGUCUCCUCCUAAAGAGUAACGGAGGAGCACGAAGGUUGGCUAAUCCUGGUCGGACAUCAGGAGGUUAGUGCAAUGGCAUAAGCCAGCUUGACUGCGAGCGUGACGGCGCGAGCAGGUGCGAAAGCAGGUCAUAGUGAUCCGGUGGUUCUGAAUGGAAGGGCCAUCGCUCAACGGAUAAAAGGUACUCCGGGGAUAACAGGCUGAUACCGCCCAAGAGUUCAUAUCGACGGCGGUGUUUGGCACCUCGAUGUCGGCUCAUCACAUCCUGGGGCUGAAGUAGGUCCCAAGGGUAUGGCUGUUCGCCAUUUAAAGUGGUACGCGAGCUGGGUUUAGAACGUCGUGAGACAGUUCGGUCCCUAUCUGCCGUGGGCGCUGGAGAACUGAGGGGGGCUGCUCCUAGUACGAGAGGACCGGAGUGGACGCAUCACUGGUGUUCGGGUUGUCAUGCCAAUGGCACUGCCCGGUAGCUAAAUGCGGAAGAGAUAAGUGCUGAAAGCAUCUAAGCACGAAACUUGCCCCGAGAUGAGUUCUCCCUGACUCCUUGA